rnacentral:rRNA from 1 species
UACGUAGGGUGCGAGCGUUGUCCGGAAUUACUGGGCGUAAAGAGCUCGUAGGUGGUUUGUCGCGUUGUUCGUGAAAACUCACGGCUUAACUGUGGGCGUGCGGGCGAUACGGGCAGACUGGAGUACUGCAGGGGAGACUGGAAUUCCUGGUGUAGCGGUGGAAUGCGCAGAUAUCAGGAGGAACACCGGUGGCGAAGGCGGGUCUCUGGGCAGUAACUGACGCUGAGGAGCGAAAGCGUGGGGAGCGAACAGG